ACCUGCGCUUCCAUUUCGCGAUCGGACAAGCCGCCGCAAAUUUGGAUAAUACGGUCAGACAGCGUCGACUUACCGUGGUCGAUGUGAGCAAUGAUCGAAAAGUUACGUAUAUUCUUCAUAUAGGGAGAUUUUUUGCCUUACGAAUUACUAAGAGGCCGCGGUUCGGAGCCUGACGUCAAAAGUCUGAAACGCCGCAUUCUACACUACAACCACAAUGCGGGGAAAUGCUCAUACUGGCAACACACCAGGCUACGCAUUUCCCCCGGUAAGACAGGAAAAUCACAGGCAUUAUUCAGCAGGUGAAUUAUCGAUGCGGACCAGGUCAGGAGGAAGGCCAACGCUGAUGAUCACGGGCUGCCAUUCGGAACGGUUCGCCAGUUUUGGUGAAAAACUCUUCGCCAGUAAAAAGCCGCCAACCCCUCCCAGGAUUGCGCCACACAAUGUGGCCAGAUCCCGAUUAAAAAGCAUCUGAAACAGUGCCGACAUCAGGAAAAGACCAACCAGCGGGGACAUAUAGACCAGCAGCGCUGACGUCAACAAACUGGCUUCGCCAAUUCCCAGUUCCACUUUUUGCCCUGCCACUAACGGCUGAUCGCACGGAACGGACAAGGUAUGGGUCAUCUGCGGCCCAAGCUUGUUCAGUACGCGGCUCCCGCAUCCGCUACGCGAAGCACAGCUGCUGCAGGAGGCUUUAACAUCACACUCCACCAGCGCUUCACCGUUUUUCCAUGAAACGACCGUCGCCCACUCUUUAAUCAUUGUGCUGCCCUGAAUUUGAUGCUGUCCGCAAUGCGC
rnacentral:ncRNA from 1 species